rnacentral:rRNA from 1 species
GCCUACGGCCAUACCACACUGAACUCACCCGAUCUUGUGUUAUCUCGGAAGCUAAGCAGGGUCUGGCCUGGUUAGUACUUGGAUGGGAGAAAAUUAAGUCUGAACUUCAGCUUGGUAUUCA